rnacentral:rRNA from 1 species
UGGGGAAUAUUGCACAAUGGGCGCAAGCCUGAUGCAGCAACGCCGCGUGAGGGACGACGGCCUUCGGGUUGUAAACCUCUUUUAGUAGGGAAGAAGCGAAAGUGACGGUACCUGCAGAAAAAGCACCGGCUAACUACGUGCCAGCAGCCGCGGUAAUACGUAGGGUGCGAGCGUUGUCCGGAAUUAUUGGGCGUAAAGAGCUCGUAGGCGGUCUGUCGCGUCUGCUGUGAAAACCCGAGGCUCAACCUCGGGCCCUGCAGUGGGUACGGGCAGACUAGAGUGCGGUAGGGGAGAAUGGAAUUCCUGGUGUAGCGGUGGAAUGCGCAGAUAUCAGGAGGAACACCGAUGGCGAAGGCAGUUCUCUGGGCCGUAACUGACGCUGAGGAGCGAAAGCGUGGGGAGCGAACAGGAUUAGAUACCCUGGUAGUCCACGCCGUAAACGUUGGGCGCUAGAUGUGGGGACCAUUCCACGGUUUCCGUGUCGCAGCUAACGCA